UACGUAGGGUGCGAGCGUUGUCCGGAAUUAUUGGGCGUAAAGAGCUCGUAGGCGGUUUGUCGCGUCUGCCGUGAAAUUUCGGGGCUCAACCCCGAACUUGCGGUGGGUACGGGCAGACUAGAGUGUGGUAGGGGAGACUGGAAUUCCUGGUGUAGCGGUGAAAUGCGCAGAUAUCAGGAGGAACACCGAUGGCGAAGGCAGGUCUCUGGGCCACUACUGACGCUGAGAAGCGAAAGCAUGGGGAGCGAACAGG
rnacentral:rRNA from 1 species